rnacentral:rRNA from 1 species
GACAGAGGAUGCAAGCGUUAUCCGGAAUGAUUGGGCGUAAAGCGUCUGUAGGUGGCUUUUCAAGUCCGCCGUCAAAUCCCAGGGCUCAACCCUGGACAGGCGGUGGAAACUACCAAGCUGGAGUACGGUAGGGGCAGAGGGAAUUUCCGGUGGAGCGGUGAAAUGCGUAGAGAUCGGGAAGAACGCCAAGGGCGAAGGCACUCUGCUAGGCCUGAUUUCGCGACUGACACUCAGGGACGAGAGCCAGGGGAGCGAAUGGG